GCAGUCGAGCGGUAACACAGGGAGCUUGCUCCUGGGUGACGAGCGGCGGACGGGUGAGUAAUGUCUGGGAAACUGCCUGAUGGAGGGGGAUAACUACUGGAAACGGUAGCUAAUACCGCAUAAUGUCGCAAGACCAAAGAGGGGGACCUUCGGGCCUCUUGCCAUCAGAUGUGCCCAGAUGGGAUUAGCUAGUAGGUGGGGUAAUGGCUCACCUAGGCGACGAUCCCUAGCUGGUCUGAGAGGAUGACCAGCCACACUGGAACUGAGACACGGUCCAGACUCCUACGGGAGGCAGCAGUGGGGAAUAUUGCACAAUGGGCGCAAGCCUGAUGCAGCCAUGCCGCGUGUAUGAAGAAGGCCUUCGGGUUGUAAAGUACUUUCAGCGAGGAGGAAGGCAAUAAGGUUAAUAACCUUGGUGAUUGACGUUACUCGCAGAAGAAGCACCGGCUAACUCCGUGCCAGCAGCCGCGGUAAUACGGAGGGUGCAAGCGUUAAUCGGAAUUACUGGGCGUAAAGCGCACGCAGGCGGUCUGUCAAGUCGGAUGUGAAAUCCCCGGGCUCAACCUGGGAACUGCAUUCGAAACUGGCAGGCUAGAGUCUUGUAGAGGGGGGUAGAAUUCCAGGUGUAGCGGUGAAAUGCGUAGAGAUCUGGAGGAAUACCGGUGGCGAAGGCGGCCCCCUGGACAAAGACUGACGCUCANGUGCGAAAGCGUGGGGAGCAAAC
rnacentral:rRNA from 1 species